GAAAUGCGAUAAGUAAUGUGAAUUGCAGAAUUCCGUGAAUCAUCGAAUCUUUGAACGCACAUUGCGCCCUCUGGCAUUCCGGGGGGGAUGCCUGUCCGAGCGUCAUUACGCACCCUCAAGCCCGGCUUGUGUGAUGGGCCCCGGCGUCUCGUUCGCGAGACGGGCCCGAAAGGCAGCGGCGGCGUCGACCCGAUGAGCCCGAGCGUAUGGGGACUUCUGUCACACGUUCGCGGUGCGGACCGGCGCCUGCUUGACUUUUCUGAUUAUCCAGGUUGACCUCGGAUCAGUUAGGGAUACCCGCUGAACUUAAGC
rnacentral:misc_RNA from 1 species